rnacentral:misc_RNA from 1 species
AAAGUCGUAACAAGGUCUCCGUAGGUGAACCUGCGGAGGGAUCAUUACUGAAUGGCCUCUGGGCGUUCUACCCUCAAAACCGUGGAAGUGAGACGUGCCUCGGCGCCUCCGCGUCGAAUCAAUGUGGUUUAGCUCGCCGUCUGAAUGAAAACAUGAGAUUUAAAACUUUCAACAAAGGAUCUCUUGGCUCUC